GUUUUAAUAGUUUAACAAAAAUAAUGAUCUUGUAAAUCAUAGAUAGGUACGCCUUUAAAACU
rnacentral:tRNA from 1 species